UCCCCGGUAGCUCAGUUGGUAGAGCAGGCGGCUGUUAACCGCCUUGUCGUUGGUUCGAGUCCGACCCGGGGAGCCA
rnacentral:tRNA from 1 species